rnacentral:rRNA from 1 species
CAAUAGCGUAUAUUUAAGUUGCUGCAGUUAAAAAGCUCGUAGUUGGAUUUCGGGUGGGAAUGGCCGGUCCGCCGUUUCGGUGUGCACUUGCUACGCCCACCUUGCUGCCGGGGACGUGCUCUUGAGUUCACGCUCGGGACACGGAGUCGGCGAGGUUACUUUGAGUAAAUUAGAGUGUUCAAAGCAGGCCUACGCUCUGAAUACAUUAGCAUGGAAUAACACGAUAGGACUCUGGCCUAUCUUGUUGGUCUGUAGGACCGGAGUAAUGAUUAAGAGGGACAGUCGGGGGCAUUCGUAUUUCAUUGUCAGAGGUGAAAUUCUUGGAUUUAUGAAAGACGAACUACCGCGAAAGCAUUUGCCAAGGAUGUUUUCAUUAA